CGCCUAACCCUCACAGUUGAUCUGCGAGGUACGGCAUAAAAACCUACCACAGGAUAAAAAGCUCGUCGUCAGAGCACCUGUGGUAGGUCAUAUCCGAAAGGGUAUGGGUAGUCCGAAAGGAUUAUC
rnacentral:sRNA from 1 species